rnacentral:lncRNA from 1 species
CCUGCCGCCGCCCUCAACGCCUUCUGGCAAUGUCCCCUGGCCUUCCAGCAGCAUGGCGACGUCUUCACAGUACCGCCAGCUGCUCAGUGACUACGGGUCACCGUCCCUAGGCUACACCCAGGGAACUGGGAACAGCCAGGUGCCCCAGAGCAAAUACGCGGAGCUGCUGGCAUCAUCGAAGAGCUGGGGAGGGAGAUCAGAACCACGUACGCGGGGAGCGAGAGCUCCAUGGAGAGGAUGCAGCGCGGCGUGAUUCACGCUGGAGGACUGGUGCGGGAGUGCUUAGCAGAAACGCAACGGAAUGCCAGAUCCUAG